rnacentral:rRNA from 1 species
GACGUAGGGCGCGAGCGUUGUCCGGAUUUAUUGGGCGUAAAGAGCUCGUAGGCGGCUUGUCGCGUCGACUGUGAAAUCCCGCGGCUCAACUGCGGGUCUGCAGUCGAUACGGGCAGGCUAGAGUUCGGUAGGGGAGACUGGAAUUCCUGGUGUAGCGGUGAAAUGCGCAGAUAUCUGGAGGAACACCGGUGGCGAAGGCGGCAUCCUGGACCGGCAUUGACGCUGAGGCGCGAAAGCCAGGGGAGCAAAGCGGG